rnacentral:rRNA from 1 species
GACGAACGCUGGCGGUGUGCUUCACACAUGCAAGUCGAACGAGGUAGCAAUACCUAGUGGCGGACGGGUGAGUAACGCGUGGGAAUCUGCCCAUAGGUGGGGGAUAACUAGCCGAAAGGUUAGCUAAUACCGCAUAUGCCGAAAGGUAAAAGGAGUAAUCCGCCUUUGGAUGAGCCCGCGUCCGAUUAGCUAGUUGGUAGAGUAAAAGCCUACCAAGGCGACGAUCGGUAGCUGGUCUGAGAGGAUGAUCAGCCACAAUGGGACUGAGACACGGCCCAUACUCCUACGGGAGGCAGCAGUGGGGAAUUUUACACAAUGGGGGGAAACCCUGAUGUAGCGACACCGCGUGAACGAAGAAGCCCUUUGGGGUGUAAAGUUCUGUCGGCUGGAACGAAAAAAUGACGGUACCAGCAAAGGAAGCAUCGGCUAACUACGUGCCAGCAGCCGCGGUU